rnacentral:tmRNA from 1 species
GGGGGUGAAACUGGCUUCGACGGGGUUGGAAGGAGCUUAGAAUUGCGUGCCGUGUUACCCGCAGACACGAUAAACAGCGGUAAAAACAUAACUGGCGAAAAUUACGCCCUCGCAGCUUAGUUAAUUAGGCUGCCGUUCUUGCAGAAACUUCGUACUGUUUCUGUAUUGAGCGUCGAUUUAGUACGAUAGCCGAUCCGAUCUCCGGGUAGGAAAGGCGAACUUCUCACCGGAUAUUAGCCGUGCGAUCCGGUCAGUGGGAGCAAACGGAAUGAAACUAAAACUCUGACUACGCGCGUAGCAUAUUCUUCGAUCCUCAAUUUCGGACGCGGGUUCGACUCCCGCCACCUCCAC